GGAAAGGAGAUUGUUAUUAAGGC
rnacentral:siRNA from 1 species